rnacentral:rRNA from 1 species
AGCGAACGCUGGCGGCAGGCCUAACACAUGCAAGUCGAACGAACUCUUCGGAGUUAGUGGCGGACGGGUGAGUAACACGUGGGAACGUGCCUUUAGGUUCGGAAUAACUCAGGGAAACUUGUGCUAAUACCGAAUGUGCCCUUCGGGGGAAAGAUUUAUCGCCUUUAGAGCGGCCCGCGUCUGAUUAGCUAGUUGGUGAGGUAAAGGCUCACCAAGGCGACGAUCAGUAGCUGGUCUGAGAGGAUGAUCAGCCACAUUGGGACUGAGACACGGCCCAAACUCCUACGGGAGGCAGCAGUGGGGAAUCUUGCGCAAUGGGCGAAAGCCUGACGCAGCCAUGCCGCGUGAAUGAUGAAGGUCUUAGGAUUGUAAAAUUAUUUAACCGGGGACGAUAAUGACGGUACCCGGAGAAGAGGCCCCGGCUAACUUCGUG